rnacentral:rRNA from 1 species
GAUGAACGCUGGCGGCGUGCCUAAUACAUGCAAGUCGAGCGAACAGACGAGGAGCUUGCUCCCCUGACGUUAGCGGCGGACGGGUGAGUAACACGUGGAUAACCUACCUAUAAGACUGGGAUAACUUCGGGAAACCGGAGCUAAUACCGGAUAAUAUAUUGAACCGCAUGGUUCAAUAGUGAAAGACGGUUUUGCUGUCACUUAUAGAUGGAUCCGCGCCGCAUUAGCUAGUUGGUAAGGUAACGGCUUACCAAGGCGACGAUGCGUAGCCGACCUGAGAGGGUGAUCGGCCACACUGGAACUGAGACACGGUCCAGACUCCUACGGGAGGCAGCAGUAGGGAAUCUUCCGCAAUGGGCGAAAGCCUGACGGAGCAACGCCGCGUGAGUGAUGAAGGUCUUCGGAUCGUAAAACUCUGUUAUUAGGGAAGAACAAAUGCGUAAGUAACUAUGCACGUCUUGACGGUACCUAAUCAGAAAGCCACGGCUAACUACGUG